CCUACGGGUGGCUGCAGUGGGGAAUAUUGCACAAUGGGCGCGAGCCUGAUGCAGCCAUGCCGCGUGUGUGAAGAAGGCCUUCGGGUUGUAAAGCACUUUCAGCGGGGAGGAAGGCGUUAAGGUUAAUAACCUUGGCGAUUGACGUUACCCGCAGAAGAAGCAACGGCUAACUCCGUGCCAGCAGCCGCGGUAAUACGUAGGGUGCAAGCGUUAUCGGAAUUACUGGGCGUAAAGCGCACGCAGGCGGUCUGUCAAGUCGGAUGUGAAAUCCCCGGGCUCAACCUGGGAACUGCAUUCGAAGCUGGCAGGCUAGAGUCUUGUAGAGGGGGGUAGAAUUCCAGGUGUAGCGGUGAAAUGCGUAGAGAUCUGGAGGAAUACCGGUGGCGAAGGCGGCCCCCUGGACAAAGACUGACGCUCAGGUGCGAAAGCGUGGGGAGCAAACAGGAUUAGAUACCCGAGUAGUC
rnacentral:rRNA from 1 species